CCCCAAUGGGUUCUCCGGAUUUCUGGAGACUUGUAGGGGUUGUGGGAUUUUUGAUGUGUCGUCUCCGGACGGGCGGUGCAGGGUAGUCGAGUUAGACUUGGUGGAGUUCCGUCGAGUCUGGUCGGCUGUGUGUUGGACGGUGCAGGGUAGGCUGCUUGGAGAUGGUCGGUUCGAGGAUCGAUUCGAGGGCCGGCCUGUCGAUGGUGUGUGAUGUAUGCGGUCUAGGGUAGGCUGGUUUGUCUUGGUUCAAUUUGAUGUCGCCUCCCGUGCAGGCCAGAGUGAGGAGGGUCCAGGGUAGGUACAGGGUAGGCAGCUUAGAUUUGGUUGAUCUGGAGGUCGAUUCUCCGGCUGGCGGAUCUGACACUGUCGAAACGAGAUGCGAGCGGUGUAGGGUAGGCUAGUUUCGUCCUCGCCAGGUUGCGAUUUGGACGAGAUGUGUGGUUUAGGGUAGGCUCUAGGGUAAGUAGAACUCGAGUUUCGUCGCCGACAGUUUUCUGUGGGUGUAUGGUAGGUACAGGGUAGGCAAAUCUCUCUCCGGCCAGUACUUGUCUGGUGGUCGUGAGUCGAUUUUUUUGUUUUGCCAUACUAUUGAAUUUUGCGGAAAUUCAAAAGUGGCUCGGGAGUCCCGCCUGGCGUGCGUCCGACUCGAACAUCGUCGGUGUACAUAUGAGAGGGAGUAAUCCGGCCCGGCCGGGGCCCAUCGCGAGCUGCCGGGUAGGUAAAAGUAAAAAAGUUGUUAAGAGGCGCGGUGUCGGCGUGCUUGUAUUUGCGGGAGAGAAUUAUCUGGGGGUGCUGGGUAGCCGGGAAGACUUGGACGGAUCUGGCCCGGGAAUGGGUCUGGGCCUGGAUUCUGGUGUGGUGUAGGGUAGGCUUAGAUAGAUGAGUGGUCUAGGGUAGAUACAGGGUAGCCAGACGUCUGGUAUAUAGUAUGGGGGUGUAGGGUAGGUCUGGACACCGUUUUCCACUUCGCCCUUCCCUUUAGUCGAGGGAGGACGAUCUUGGCUGGGACGGAGGUGUAGGGUAGGCUUAAUUUACGAUUACAUGAUCUGUGUCACUCUAGGGUAGGUGAAAAUCCCAUAUAUAUCUGAUCACAUUUGGUGAGGAGGUGGUUUGGCUGGUGAGAUGGACAAAAGUGCAAUGUAGAAUUAUAUGUGAUUUUGCAAAAGUGGGUGUGAAAUUGGAAAGUCGGUUUUCCCGCACAGAUGAGAGCACGUUUAAGGUGCCAUAAGAUGCAACUAUCCGAGACGACCUCAACGGUGCCACCCAUGUGUUGGUCGGGCUCCUGUGCGGCCGUCCAGGGCGGGAUAAGUAGAGAGUGUGGUGGUGUAGGGUAGGUGACCAGGUCCAGGGUAGGUUCGCCAAAUCCGUCAAUCCGGCUUGAAUCGAAGGGCAGGUCUAGGGUAGGCCAGAGUCGGGUCUAGGGUAGGCAACCCUCACCCUCGAAGUGGUCUACCCGGUAGCCAACUUCAAUCGCCUCUCACGGCCGCCACGGACCUCGCAUGACGACGGGACUACCACCAUCGGAUUCGCCUUGGUCGAAAUAGCUGGUAUAUGCACUUUUGAAAAAAUGCGUGCAAAAUGGUUUUGUGGUUUGGUGGCCGUGAGUCGAUUUUUUUGUUUUCCCAUACAAAUGAAUUUUGCGGAAAAUGAAAAGUGGCCCACGAGGCAGUCCUGGCGUGCGGCCCACUAAAACGGUCUCGGAGGGUAUAUGAGAAGGGAGCAAAUCCGGCCGAGCCUGAAAGGGUGAGGACAAACCGGGCGAGCAACCUCUCAGUAUCAGAUCUUGCAGACUUCCACUGCGUGUCCCUCUGUACAGCUUUGCAGGCUCCGGCCUCGGCAGCGGGGGGUUCAUAGUGGUCGUCGACCUCCACGAAACUGCACGCUCCGGCGUGACAGCGUACUGGGGAUGCCUGUGUAGAUGCAGUCCGGGCUUGCCUGGACCGCUAGCAGAUGGGCUCUGUGGAUGACUGGCCGCUGGCUAGACCUGAAACCUGAGCAACGGGAGGUAACCUCUCGCCGCGGACACCGGAAUGGUAGAAGCGGCGUGCUGCGUCCUCCUCU
rnacentral:misc_RNA from 1 species